ACGAACGCUGGCGGCGUGCCUAAUACAUGCAAGUAGAACGCUGAAGAGAGGAGCUUGCUCUUCUUGGAUGAGUUGCGAACGGGUGAGUAACGCGUAGGUAACCUGCCUUGUAGCGGGGGAUAACUAUUGGAAACGAUAGCUAAUACCGCAUAACAAUGGAUGACACAUGUCAUUUAUUUGAAAGGGGCAAUUGCUCCACUACAAGAUGGACCUGCGUUGUAUUAGCUAGUAGGUGAGGUAACGGCUCACCUAGGCGACGAUACAUAGCCGACCUGAGAGGGUGAUCGGCCACACUGGGACUGAGACACGGCCCAGACUCCUACGGGAGGCAGCAGUAGGGAAUCUUCGGCAAUGGGGGCAACCCUGACCGAGCAACGCCGCGUGAGUGAAGAAGGUUUUCGGAUCGUAAAGCUCUGUUGUAAGUCAAGAACGAGUGUGAGAGUGGAAAGUUCGCACUGUGACGGUAGCUUACCAGAAAGGGACGGCUAACUACGUG
rnacentral:rRNA from 1 species